UACAGAGGGUGCAAGCGUUAAUCGGAAUUACUGGGCGUAAAGCGUGCGUAGACGGUUAUUUAAGUCAGGUGUGAAAGCCCCGGGCUCAACCUGGGAAUUGCAUUUGAGACUGAAUAGCUAGGGUGCGGAAGAGGGAAGCGGAAUUUCCGGUGUAGCGGUGAAAUGCGUAGAUAUCGGGAGGAACACCUAUGGCGAAGGCAGCUCGCUGGGACGUUACUGACGCUGAGACGCGAAAGCGUGGGGAGCAAACAGG
rnacentral:rRNA from 1 species